rnacentral:rRNA from 1 species
CGGGUGAGUAACACGUAAGAAUUUACCUCUAGGAGGGGGAUAACAACUGGAAACGGUUGCUAAUACCCCAUAUGCUUUCGAGUGAAACGGAUUUCCGCCUAGAGAGAAGCUUGCGGCUGAUUAGCUUGUUGGUGAGGUAAUGGCUCACCAAGGCGACGAUCAGUAUCUGGUUUGAGAGGAUGAUCAGACACACUGGAACUGAGACACGGUCCAGACUCCUACGGGAGGCAGCAGUGGGGAAUUUUCCGCAAUGGGCGAAAGCCUGACGGAGCAAUACCGCGUGAGGGAUGACUGCCUAUGGGUUGUAAACCUCUUUUUUCAGGGAGGAAUCAAUGACGUGUACCUGAAGAAUAAGCGUCGGCUAACUCCGUGCCAGCAGCCGCGGUAAGACGGAGGAUGCAAGUGUUAUCCGGAAUCACUGGGCGUAAAGCGCCUGUAGGUGGUCAAAUAAGUCAACUGUUAAAUCUUGAGGCUCAACCUCAAAAUCGCAGUCGAAACUAUUAGACUAGAGUAUAGUAGGGGUAAAGGGAAUUUCCAGUGGAGCGGUGAAAUGCGUAGAGAUUGGAAGGAACACCGAUGGCGAAGGCACUUUACUGGGCUAUUACUAACACUCAGAGACGAAAGCUAGGGUAGCAAAUGGGAUUAGAUACCCCAGUAGUCCUAGCUGUAAACAAUGGAUACUAGAUGUUGAACAGAUCGACCUGUGCAGUAUCAAAGCUAACGCGUUAAGUAUCCCGCCUGGGAAGUAUGCUCGCAAGAGUGAAACUCAAAGGAAUUGACGG